rnacentral:rRNA from 1 species
GAUAAACGCUGGCGGCGUGCUUCAGGCAUGCAAGUCGAACGGUCCUUCCGGUUCGCCGGACGGAUAGUGGCGGACGGGUGAGUAACACGUAAGUAACCUGCCCAGAAGUGGGGAACAACCGGCCGAAAGGCUGGCUAAUACCGCAUGUGAUGGUCCUUCCUUGGAAGGAUUAUUAAAGGCUUUGGCCGCUUCUGGAGGGGCUUGCGGCUGAUUAGCUUGUUGGUGGGGUAACGGCCUACCAAGGCAACGANCGGUAGCUGGUCUGAGAGGACGGACAGCCACACGGGGACUGAGAUACGGCCCCGACUCCUACGGGAGGCAGCAGCUAGGAAUCUUGGGAAUGGGCGAAAGCCUGACGCAGCGACGCCGCGUGGGGGAUGAAGGUCUUCGGAUUGUAAACCCCUUUCGGGAGGGAAGAUGGAAUGGGGGUAACCCAUUCGGACGGUACCUCCCAGAAGCAGCCACGGCUAACUUCGUGCCAGCAGCCGCCGUAAG